GCGACGGGUGAGUACACGUGGGCAAUCUGCCCUGCACUCUGGGACAAGCCCUGGAAACGGGGUCUAAUACCGGAUACUGAUCCUUGCGGGCAUCUGCGAGGUUCGAAAGCUCCGGCGGUGCAGGAUGAGCCCGCGGCCUAUCAGCUUGUUGGUGAGGUAAUGGCUCACCAAGGCGACGACGGGUAGCCGGCCUGAGAGGGCGACCGGCCACACUGGGACUGAGACACGGCCCAGACUCCUACGGGAGGCAGCAGUGGGGAAUAUUGCACAAUGGGCGAAAGCCUGAUGCAGCGACGCCGCGUGAGGGAUGACGGCCUUCGGGUUGUAAACCUCUUUCAGCAGGGAAGAAGCGAAAGUGACGGUACCUGCAGAAGAAGCGCCGGCUAACUACGUGCCAGCAGCCGGGGGUAAUACG
rnacentral:rRNA from 1 species